GACGGUUGUUUUAGAUUUGUGCUUAAAAUUGACGUGUGUUCCAUAAAUUUAUGCUUGUCGAUUACCCGUCCCUUUCCUUUUCGGCGGAUAAGAAAAUGACAGAUAUAACUUAAAAUAAAACUAGAUGGUAUUUACAGGAAUUAGCACCAGUAU